rnacentral:rRNA from 1 species
AGUAAAUUGAGACCUAUAAGCUAUGUAAACAAUUAUUUUUUCAGUAAAUGAAUUGAACUUUAUCUACGGUUAUCAAGUACUUUGAAGGAAAACAUGAAGCUUAAAAGAAGUUCAUUUAGGUACCUUUUGUAUCAGGGUUGAUCAAAUUUAAUUUUAAAUAAAGUUUUCCCGAAAGAAAAUGAUUUAUCUAGCUUUAACGUCUUUGUGUCAAAAAAUUGUUUAAAUUCUAGAUGGAAGUUAUAAAUUAUUCGGAUUUUUAUUUCUGGUUAGUUGUUUCUCCUUUCAGAGGAACCCAAUAUUUGGGCUAAGUAAUAGGGGAUGAGCUCUAUUACUUUUUAUAUUAUAAGUAAUUGUCUUAAUUUUAAAGGCUUAGAAGUAGCCAGAGUGUAACAACUAUAAUUAGACUUAAUUUAUUUAUUUAUGAUUAAUAUAAAGACAACUUAGAAGAAUCAAUAUUUAAGCUUUUAAAUAAUGAUUGAAUCAGUAAAACAAAACUAUAGUUAUGAAUUUAAUUAUUAAUAUGAAAAAGCAAAGAAGUAAAGGAACUCGGCAAAUAUAGUUCCUGCCUGUUUAACAAAAACAUGGCCUUUUUUUAUUUUAAGGUCCGGCCUGCCCACUGAAAUUUGAAGGGCCGUGGUAUAUUGACCAUGCGAAGGUAGCAUAAUCAUUUGCCCUCUAAUUAGGGGCUGGAAUGAAGGGUCAGACGAGGAACAAUCUGUCUCUACUUUUAUUUUGAAGUUAAUUUUUUGGUGAAAAAGCUAAAAUUUUCUUGGAGGACGAUAAGACCCUAUAGAUCUUUAUAGGCUAAGGUUCUAUUAAUUGGAUGUUAAUUAAUAGGAUUCUCGCUUAUUUUGUUGGGGCGACGUUGAGAGGAGAUAGAUCCCUCAAUUUGGUUAAACAAACACAAUUGUUUAAAUGAUCCUUUAGUGAAUCAGGAUUAAGUUACCUUAGGGAUAACAGCGUAAUUCUUCUUGAGAGCUCAAAUCGACAGAAGAGUUUGCGACCUCGAUGUUGGUUCAGGGUCCCUACUAGGUGUAGCAGCUUAGAAAGGUAGUCUGUUCGACUAUUAAACCCCUACGUGAUCUGAGUUCAGACCGGCGUAAGCCAGGUUAGUUUCUACCCUCAGGUGAAAAGUCUUUAUAGUAGUACGAAAGGACCCUAUAAUGUUUUGUAGACAAAAAAAAGCGUCUA